rnacentral:tRNA from 1 species
UGCCGGGUCGUCUAAAGGUAGGACAGCGGCCUUUGAAGCCGUGAAUCGGAGUUCGAGUCUCUGCCCGGCAG